CAGUCGCCGCGGUAAUACAGAGGAUGCAAGCGUUGUCCGGAAUUAUUGGGCGUAAAGGGCUCGCAGGCGGUUUCUUAAGUCUGAUGUGAAAGCCCCCGGCUCAACCGGGGAGGGUCAUUGGAAACUGGGAAACUUGAGUGCAGAAGAGGAGAGUGGAAUUCCACGUGUAGCGGUGAAAUGCGUAGAGAUGUGGAGGAACACCAGUGGCGAAGGCGACUCUCUGGUCUGUAACUGACGCUGAGGAGCGAAAGCGUGGGGAGCGAACAGGAUUAGAUACCCCUGUAGUCCCUGUCUCUUAUAU
rnacentral:rRNA from 1 species